rnacentral:snRNA from 18 species
UCACAGACCUUGUUGGGAUCACCGUGAUCAAGACGACGGUCGAUCAAUCAGAACACCCUGCAUUGCACAGCGCGGCGGUGGUCUGGUUUGAAUCUCCUUCGGGGGCUUCACCGGCGCAAUUUUUGCUGGUCCGCCGAC